AUUGAACGCUGGCGGCAGGCCUAACACAUGCAAGUCGAGCGGAUGAAGGGAGCUUGCUCCUGGAUUCAGCGGCGGACGGGUAGUAAUGCCUAGGAAUCUGCCUGGUAGUGGGGGAUAACGUCCGGAAACGGGCGCUAAUACCGCAUACGUCCUGAGGGAGAAAGUGGGGGAUCUUCGGACCUCACGCUAUCAGAUGAGCCUAGGUCGGAUUAGCUAGUUGGUGGGGUAAAGGCCUACCAAGGCGACGAUCCGUAACUGGUCUGAGAGGAUGAUCAGUCACACUGGAACUGAGACACGGUCCAGACUCCUACGGGAGGCAGCAGUGGGGAAUAUUGGACAAUGGGCGAAAGCCUGAUCCAGCCAUGCCGCGUGUGUGAAGAAGGUCUUCGGAUUGUAAAGCACUUUAAGUUGGGAGGAAGGGCAGUAAGUUAAUACCUUGCUGUUUUGACGUUACCAACAGAAUAAGCACCGGCUAACUUCGUG
rnacentral:rRNA from 1 species